rnacentral:rRNA from 1 species
UACGUAGGGUGCAAGCGUUGUCCGGAAUUAUUGGGCGUAAAGAGCUCGUAGGCGGUUUGUCGCGUCUGCCGUGAAAGUCCGGGGCUCAACUCCGGAUCUGCGGUGGGUACGGGCAGACUAGAGUGAUGUAGGGGAGACUGGAAUUCCUGGUGUAGCGGUGAAAUGCGCAGAUAUCAGGAGGAACACCGAUGGCGAAGGCAGGUCUCUGGGCCGAUAUUGACGCUGAGGAGCGAAAGCGUGGGGAGCAAACAGG